UUCGCAAUGCCCGAAAGGGUGACGAAGCGACGCCGCGUGCGGGAAGAAGGCCUUCGGGUUGUAAACCGCUGUCGGGAGUUAAGAAAUGUAAGGAUGUUAAUAGCAUCUUUGCUUGACCAAGGCUCCGGAGGAAGCCACGGCUAACUCUGUGCCAGCAGCCGCGGUAAUACAGAGGCGGCAAGCGUUGUUCGGAAUUAUUGGGCGUAAAGAGCACGUAGGCGGCUAUGUAAGUCGGUUGUGAAAGCCUUCCGCUCAACGGGAGAACAGCAUCCGAUACUGCAUGGCUUGAGUGCGGGAGGGGAGAGUGGAACUUCUGGUGGAGCGGUGAAAUGCGUAGAUAUCAGAAGGAACGCCGGCGGCGAAAGCGGCUCUCUGGCCCAUAACUGACGCUGAGUGUGCGAAAGCUAGGGGAGCAAACGGGAUUAGAUACCACGGUAGUCCUAGCCGUAAACGAUGGGCACUAAGUAGAGGGGUUUU
rnacentral:rRNA from 1 species